UUUUUUUAUAAAAAAAAUGGGUACUCUUUAUGAAUUUGUAAAACGAUUUUGGGUUGCUUUGCCAAACGCGUGAAUCGAAUCAAAAACCUUUUACACACACUUGUAGAAAACAGUUC